GAAACUCCUGAAUUGCUUUGCUGUUUAAAUAAUAUUUUAAAAUAUUCCUUAUCCCUUAAUGGCAUUUGGAGUAAAAUGUCUGGCAACAAUCAUUCUCCUUCCUGCCUAUUAUUUUUAAUGCAGCAAGAUUGCAGUAUAAUAAAUUUUGACAUUGUAACCUAAAAUAGAUAAGAUUAGCUUGCUUGUUAUGCAAGCAGUGCUGCCCCACAAAUUAUUGUUAGGAAAUGUAAUUUUGUCAAAUGACAGACAAAAUGCAUGCCACUUUUGCUCUUAACAGCCUAGUCUAAUCUGAAAUAGCAUCUAUGAAGAAACAUACGACAGUGAGAUUCAAUACAAGAGGUGAAAGUGGCUUUAAUUAUAUCUAUUCCUCAGAUUUGACAGGAUGUAUUCAGAAUUUGAGGAUCUUGCCUUUCUGUGUAAAAUCAGAAGCCAAAUAGAGCAUCUGUAUUCUAAAGAUAAUGGCCAUUUACCUGAAGUAACUUUCCCCAUCCACAAUGACUAUGGUAACAAUUAAGACUUUUGCUUAGUUCAAUGCAAAUUUAGUGUUAGAGAUUUUAGCAUUGCACUUACAGAGCAUAUUCAAAAUUUACAAUCCAGUAGGAAAUAUCUUGCACUAUGCCAACACACACACACACACACACAGUAUCAUUCCCAGAUGACUUCUGUACCAAAAGAAAAAGAAAAGACUGCCAGCUCACAAAAAGCAUGACUGCAUGAGCACAGAUGAUUGCAUUUCAAAGUCUUUCAAUUUGAACAUUAUGCACCAUUCCUGUCCAUUAUGCUCACAUAGGGAGGCCUUUCUCCUUGCCUCGCUUGUUUCAAAGGUUAGGGUUCAAAUGUAAGAAAACAAACAACAUAAUUACUGUAAUCAAAUGUGGACUGUCUUGUGCCAGAUGUGCCCAAACUGUUGUGGUGCUCAUUGAUACUGGAGCAGAAUGUUGUAAUAAGGCUAUAACCCAGGCAUAGGCAAACUCGGCCCUCCAUAUGUUUUGGGACUAUGAAAUAUACUCAGAGUCGCAAAGUGAUUUCAUGCUCUUUAUUCAGCUCAUAGUGGUGAGGAGGAAUGAAUGAAUGUCCCCUCAAAGUAUCUGCUUUAUAUACAUUAUUUACACAAUGGGCUGCACAUGAUUGGUUAAUUCUGGAAUUCUACUGUAAGCCAAUCAGGUUGUGGAUUCACUUAUAUCUGGAGCAUGAUUGGGUGGUUCCUGCCAACCAAUCAUACUGCUGCAUUGUUCUUGGACCAAUCAGACUGCUGCAUUCUGAAUCCUAUUGUUCUAGGACCAAUCAGACCGCUGCAAUUUGGAUCCUAUUGUUCUAGGACCAAUCAGACUGCUGCAGUUUGGAUCCUAUUCAACUCAGUACAUAACAGACUACAACUCCCAUGAUCCCUAGCUAACAGGACCAGUGGUCAGGGAUGAUGGGAAUUGUAGUCCCAAAUCAUCUGAAGGGCCUAGUUUGCCUAUGCCUGCUAUAACCCUAUUAUUAUUAUUUUAAAUCCAAUUAAUUGUAUGAGCUUUUGUCAAUUGAUCAAGGGAGGACACCAUUUCCUUGUUUUUAGAUGAUACAUGCAUGUAUCAAAGCAGGAACCAUUUUAGAAGAGGCAUUUCAUCAUGCCUGCUUGAGAAGGAUGAAUGUCUCUUCCAAGAUAUUGCCUGUCACUUACCAUUUAUGAAAUAAGGAAUGAAAACCUGUUGGUCUUCAGAUGUUGCUAGACUAGAACUUCAACCAUCUCAGACCAUAGCCCAGGUGGGGCAGAGCUAGUCCAAGAGCUAGUCCAACAGCAUCAGGAAGGCUACAGGAAGCCAUCCCUGGGGAGUUAUUCUAUGAGUAACCACUUGGGGGUAGGUAGGUAGGUAGGUAGGUAGGUAGGUAAGCAGGUAGAUAUAGAUAGAUAGAUAGAUGAUAGAUAGAUAGAUAGAUAGAUAGAUAGAUAGAUAUAGAUAGAUAAUAGAUAGAUAGAUGAUAGAUAGAUAGAUAGAUGAUAGAUAGAUAGAUAGAUAGAUGAUAGAUAGAUAGAUAGAUAGAUAGAUAGAUAGAUAGAUAGAUAGAUAGAUAGAUAGAUAGAUAGACAGAUAGAUAGAUGAUAGAUAGAUAGAUAUCCUAAUUAAUUGGGAACAUAUUUGAGAGGAUUACAAUAGUUUUCAUAAAUUAAUCUAAUCAAUUCAUUGUUCUCAUUCAUAGCAGAUUCAAGGACCACAGCUGAGUCAGGCAAGAUAUAGCUGUUAAAUGCACUGUAAAUC